CCUACGGGUGGCAGCAGUGGGGAAUAUUGCACAAUGGGCGCAAGCCUGAUGCAGCCAUGCCGCGUGUGUGAAGAAGGCCUUCGGGUUGUAAAGCACUUUCAGCGGGGAGGAAGGCGGUGAGGUUAAUAACCUCAUCGAUUGACGUUACCCGCAGAAGAAGCACCGGCUAACUCCGUGCCAGCAGCCGCGGUAAUACGGAGGGUGCAAGCGCUAAUCGGAAUUACUGGGCGUAAAGCGCACGCAGGCGGUCUGUCAAGUCGGAUGUGAAAUCCCCGGGCUCAACCUGGGAACUGCAUUCGAAACUGGCAGGCUAGAGUCUUGUAGAGGGGGGUAGAAUUCCAGGUGUAGCGGUGAAAUGCGUAGAGAUCUGGAGGAAUACCGGUGGCGAAGGCGGCCCCCUGGACAAAGACUGACGCUCAGGUGCGAAAGCGUGGGGAGCAAACAGGAUUAGAUACCCCAGUAGUC
rnacentral:rRNA from 1 species